UACAGGGGAUGCAAGUUUUAUUCGGAAUUAUUGGGCGUAAAGCGUCUGCAGGUUGAUAUAAAAGUCUUUUGUUAAAUAUCAGAGCUCAACUCGGAAUCUGCAAAAGAAACUAUAUAUCUAGAGUAUGGUAGAGGUAGGGGGAAUUUCCAGUGGAGCGGUGAAAUGCGUAGAUAUUGGAAAGAACACCGAUAGCGAAGGCGCCCUACUGGGCCAUUACUGACACUCAGAGACGAAAGCUAGGGGAGCAAACGGG
rnacentral:rRNA from 1 species